rnacentral:lncRNA from 1 species
AGUGUCACUGAGAGGAGGGGGCUGACCGGGCCAGGGAGAGCUGGGGGUGGCAGCUUAGAUUUCCAUCCUCCUUCCGGAAGGUAUUUUAACCUCACAGCCUAUUAUGCAUCUUGGUGUGCUUUUAUAACCUAAGGAGUCAUUUGCAGAGGGAAAGUACAGCCAUGGGGAAAACCAGAGCAAGCCAGGAAGAAUGAAGACCAAGGGCAACUGAUAAAGAGGACUCAAUUCGCUGUCAUCUCUUUUCUCUGUUCCUUCUUGCAAUCACUGGUGGUACAAGCAAAGUGUCCAUUAUGUGAUCUGUAUAGAAUUAGGUAAGUAAACUACAUCCUUUGGAUGAAAUUCAGAAAUUUUUCUACUUUAUUGAUACAGUGUUUUUGAUUUGCUUUGUUGAAUGUAUGUACCAAACCUGUCAGGUGCUUCAGGCCCUAUAGAAGUGGUUUUGUUUUGUUUUGAUUACUCAGUCGUGUGAACAGGGUAACUGCA